rnacentral:rRNA from 1 species
GGGCGUUGAAGCAUGAUCGUAAGGACAUGUGGAGCGCUUAGAAGUGAGAAUGCCGGUGUGAGUAGCGAAAGACGGGUGAGAAUCCCGUCCACCGAUUGACUAAGGUUUCCAGAGGAAGGCUCGUCCGCUCUGGGUUAGUCGGGUCCUAAGCUGAGGCCGACAGGCGUAGGCGAUGGAUAACAGGUUGAUAUUCCUGUACCACCUAUAAUCGUUUUAAUCGAUGGGGGGACGCAGUAGGAUAGGCGAAGCGUGCGAUUGGAUUGCACGUCUAAGCAGUAAGGCUGAGUAUUAGGCAAAUCCGGUACUCGUUAAGGCUGAGCUGUGAUGGGGAGAAGACAUUGUGUCUUCGAGUCGUUGAUUUCACACUGCCGAGAAAAGCC